CCUACGGGAGGCUGCAGUCGAGAAUCAUUCACAAUGGGGGAAACCCUGAUGGUGCGACGCCGCGUGGGGGAAUGAAGGUCUUCGGAUUGUAAACCCCUGUCAUGUGGGAGCAAAUUAAAAAGAUAGUACCACAAGAGGAAGAGACGGCCAACCCAGUGCCAGCAGCCGCGGUAAUACAGAGGUCUCAAGCGGUGUUCGGAAUCACUGGGCGUAAAGCGUGCGUAGGCUGUUUCGUAAGUCGUGUGUGAAAGGCCCGGGCUCAACCCGCGGACGGCCCAUGAUACUGCGAGACUAGAGUAAUGGAGGGGGAACCGGAAUUCUCGGUGUAGCAGUGAAAUGCGUAGAUAUCGAGAGGAACACUCGUGGCGAAGGCGGGUUCCUGGACAUUAACUGACGCUGAGGCACGAAGGCCAGGGGAGCGAAAGGGAUUAGAUACCCCAGUAGUC
rnacentral:rRNA from 1 species